CCGACUUUAAUCUGGACUAGAGCUUGUGCCCGUAAACAGAAAAUUAGCCUGCAACAAGCUGUGGCCGUUUUUCACAGCAACGCAGGCACAGUAACUACGAGGAGAAUAAUGUCUUCGCGAGGAGAAGGCAAGUCUCUUGACCCGAAUACAGAAAUCUCGGCUCAGUUAGAUCAGUCACACAGCCACGAUGAAAAAACUCGUGAACUUGUAGAGAUUUCAAACUUUCAGAGUGAUUGGAUGUUUAUGAUGCAGAUUCUGCUAUUUUUGGGUCGAACAAAUUAUUGCAUAGAUCACUACUAGUACUACUUAUAAAACUCAUGAACUUAUAAAGAAUAAUCAAUAAAUAAUAUUAUUUAAAACAUACUUUCUCUCUUAUACAGGCAAAAGAGAGAGAUACCCAGUACGCAACACCAUCACUGCAUAGAUCACUACUAGUACUGCUAGUCUAGCCAACCAACUAAACUGAACGAAACAAACAGACGCGACUCGCCGCAAUUCAGAUUGCAGGAUUCCAUCUCUCAAGCUAGGCACCCAUGACCGUCCGCAGCGCAGCGACGGCUCAGUGAGCGAGGAAGGCGAGGAACGAGACGACGGCGGCCACGGCCCACGCCCCGGGCGCGACGGCGCCUGCCGCGCCGACCACCGCCGCCGGCGCCGGCGCCGGGGCGAGCGAGGGGGCGAGGCUGCCCAGGAAGAACUCCUCCUCCCGCUCCACAAUCCUCCCUGCCGCCGACGCAACCAGCGCCACGAGCACCACCGCGGCGAGGAGAGCAAUGGACUUGGUGGAGACGGCGGCCAUUGAGACGAGACGGUGGGAGGAUCUGGUCGCAGAGAAAGAGAAGCAAGCAAGCAAAAGAAGCAGACGGAUGCUGUGCUUGGUUUCUCAAACUCUGCGCUCGUGAACUUGGAUGGAUCGUGGGAGAUGUUUGUGUGGGGAGAAGCGGAGGUGGUUCGGGGGAUUUUAUAGCGGGCGGGCGACGAGGGGAAAUGUAGCCGUUGGGCGUCGUAGCAGGCGGGCGAGACCUUCGAAAACGUUCGGAUCCGGCUGACCGGGCUCGGGGACGGGUGGCCUCUCGUCGUCUUUCGGUGGAGUAGCCGUUAAAAGUUAAAGUUGGUGGUCAGGAGCUAGCCGUUGAGCCGGGACCGUCAGGCGUGCCGGCGGAGGGAAUCCUAUGCAGGAUAGACACGGUACGGGCGAGGUGAUGUGCGGGAGGGGCAUCAUGGCGACCUGUGGUUCUCCUCGAGUGUGUUGCGCGGUCAUGCGAGAGCGUGGGUUUGAUUUUCGAACCCGGUUCCCUCCCUCCAUCCCCCGCUGCGCCCGUACGCCAAUGAUGGCCAGUGCACAGUGUAAUUAACAUUUUCUUUUUGUUGAACAUCAUAUUGGUUGUACAUAUAUACUGUGCUAGUAGCUAAAAAGUCCAUGCAACGGAAGGAAAAAAUUGCACCCUAAUUAGAUGGCUUAAACCGUGUGGACAGCAUCGAGGAAGUCCAGCCAGGGAAAGCCUACAGGGGGAUACCACGCCCGAAAACCGAGCAGACAGGGCUAGCCUCAAGGACGCGUACAGAGAAGGCGUGCGGAUUCGCCCAAGGAGCAAAUGAUGGAUUUAGGCCAAUGGAGAGAGGCGUGGUGGACGGACGGCGUUGAUGGAACCAGGGGUCUUCCUGGGAAUUCCAGGGAAUAGCAAAGAAUUUCACGCCAAAAAAAAUUAGUAGAUGUAUUUUAUGGUAAACAGCGACUUGGCCCAUAGCCCAUGAGCAGAACGGCAGCCACGCACGGGGCAAACCCUAUUUGGCGCUGCAGGCGCCGGUUAUAGUGCAUUUUAGCUAACGGGCGCCUGCAGCGCUCCCACACUGGACCGGCCCAUCUCACACGUUUUUAUUCUGGUUUAGUGCGCAAAAAAUGGGUGCUGGUGAGAUUUAAACCCGCAACCUGUAGUGUAACUUGCACACGCACUAGCCAACCGGGAAAGACAAGAAGUCAUGGCAAUUACCUUCCUUUGCAUCUUUUAUAGUUUGCCAGGUGGUUUUUUCUUUCUUUCCUGUUGUGCGUUUUUUCUGGGCCGGUUUUUCCUAUUGGUUUUUUCUGUUUCUUUUCUUUCAUUUUUUUUCCUUUUUUUACUUUUUAUGCACGAACUAAUUCAAAUUGAAUGAACUUUUUUCAAAAUCGGUGAACUUUUUUCAACUUCGAUGAACUUUUUCAAAAUCGAGAUUUUUUUUAACAUCAACGAACUUUUUUUCAAAACCUGUGAACUUUUUUCCCAUAUGGAUGAACUGUUUUACAAAACCGGUGAACUUUUUCAAAUCCGAUGAACUUUUUCCAAAUUCAACGAACUUUUUCCCUAAAUGGAUGAACUUUUUUCAAAUUCGAUGAUUUUUUUUCAAAUUCAGUGAACUUUUUUCAAAAUAGAAUGAUUUUUUUUUAAAAUCGGUGAACUUUUUUCAAAUCCGAUGAACUUUUUCAAAAUCAAUGAACUUUUAUCAAAUCCGAUGAACUUUUUAUCAAAUCAAUGAACUUUUUUGUAAUUCGUGAACUGUUUUCAAAAUUUAACAAACUAUUUUUAUUAGAAUACUUGAUAUUUUCCAUAUAAUUUUCAAAUAACUCAAAAAUCUCAAUGGUAUAGUAAUGGCUGAGUAAUAAAUAGCACGGGUUCAUUAGUUCUAAACCUGUUCGCAUUGGUUUCUGUUCACUAGCGCUCUAAGCUGUAGUGCUUAAGCUAAGCAAUUACAUGCAAGUGUGGCGUGAGAUCGAUACCUAGUUCUGCCAAUUUUUCACGUGUUUUUUUUCAGGAACGAAACUGUUUCUGGGCCGGCCGUAGAAACGGCCCACACAGGGCGUGUUGUAGGCGCCACUUUCUCGUUCGGGCGCCUACAGCGCCGAACAGGAGCUCCCCACGCACGGUGCCAGACACCAGCGGCUGACCUCUCCUGCCUCUCCCUCGCCCCCUCCCCUCCAGCCGGCCAUCUCCCUCCCCUGCCCUCGGCCUUCGGCAUCCGGCCCUCUCCUCCGCGGCUCCGUCAGGCGCCAGGCCGCCAAUCCACCUCCGGCCUCCCUAGCACGGGGCAGCUCCCUGACUUCCUCCGGCCACCGUCCUCGGGCUCGGGGCUCCCCGGCUCGGCGGCUCCCCGGCGUGGCGGCACCGCGGCAGCGCCAUCCAGCAGGCAACAGGCAGCAGACCAGCAGCAUCAGUCCGGCAUCCACACAGUACUGCUCUGUUCUUUCCCUCUGUUUCUGAACAAAUCUGAAGAUUAUUCAGUGAUUGCUUGUAAACUGAAAUUGAACUUGAUUCAUUUGCUUCUUAUGAUGAAGAUGUUUGUCCAAUCUUAAGUUGGUGCUCAUUCUUCUGGUAGCCACUGCCAGUGUUGAGAGGGUAUUUACCUCAAUGAAAUACGUGAAGAAUCCACUAAGAAACAAAAUGGAUGAUGAAUAUUUGAACAAUUGCUUGGUUACAUUUCGUUGAGGGUGAAUUCUUCAAGCAAGUGAAAGAUGAGGAUGUCAUCAAUCUCUUCCAAAAAGGGGAUCUUAAAGUUAUAUUGUAAUUUUCUUUGCUAUUUGUAAUCUUUCUUAAUUGUUAGAGAUAUUGCCACAAUGAUAUUUUGCUACUAUUAUUGAUAUAUGGUCAUUGAGUCAUUGAUGUUACCAUCUUACUGUACAUUUAUUAUUCUAUUAUAUUGCUUUGGAAAAAAAAUACAAGAAUACCCAGGAGCAAAUUCCUGGCUCCGCCAGUUGAUUGGGAAUGGCGGCGGAUAACGGUGUUUACUUGGGGGAGAGGAGCAUUAGGAAGACAAUUUUUUAGAGUAGGAAAUGCGAAGAGAGAUGUGUGCGUCUGGUUCGGCACUCACUAGAGAGUGUGUGUUAUAUUUUUUUGAGAGAAAAAGAACACGCGUGUUACAUAAGUGAAGUGCUUGUGUUUACGUGAUGCCGAAAUAAUACAAAAGAAUCUGUGUGUUGCAACAGAUAAAAAACAAAAAAUGGUGAUUCCUCAUAUAGAUAUUGCUCUCUAAGUUUCCUAGUGUCUCUCUUGGUCGACGAUGCGCACCAAGAUGGCCAUCAUCGGCAUCAUCGUUGUUGGACGUCCCGACAUCUGGGCUCCAUGGUGCCUCCAUCUGCCAGCCCACGUCCAGGUCUUGCUUUGAAGCCGCUGUUGGAAUGCCUCCGCCUUCUUGGAUCGCGUCUCUCCACAGGUCCUGUGUGCACCAUUUUUCAGCCACCUGGGUGUGCACUACAUGACAAUAGCAUAGUCAUCCUACUUUAUGCUACUCCCUCCGUUCGGAAUUACUUGUCGCAGAAAUAGAUGUAUCUAGACGUAUUUUAGUUCUAGAUACAUUCAUUUCCGAGACAAGUAAUUCCAAACGGAGGGAGUAGAAUAUACGGUUUUAUUCCUCUCUUUUUGUACUUGUAUAGCAGAAAGAAUAAUGGAAUUCCUUUGACCCAUGUUUUCAAGUUCAUCAUCUUCUGCCUUGCUUUGUUGUUUGCUCAACCAAUAGUACAUUCACACACAAUAAAAGCUAGGACAAACCCUUAGCAACGAUGACAUAGAGCCUUGCUCUGUUGCUUGCUCAACCAAUAGUACAUUCACACACAAUAAAAGCUGGGACAAACCCUUAGCAACGACGACAUAGAAGUGUCGGCUCUGGGCCUUUGCGGAAGGGGCAACCGCCUAGGGCNNNNNNNNNNNNNNNNNNNNNNNNNNNNNNNNNNNNNNNNNNNNNNNNNNNNNNNNNNNNNNNNNNNNNNNNNNNNNNNNNNNNNNNNNNNNNNNNNNNNNNNNNNNNNNNNNNNNNNNNNNNNNNNNNNNNNNNNNNNNNNNNNNNNNNNNNNNNNNNNNNNNNNNNNNNNNNNNNNNNNNNNNNNNNNNNNNNNNNNNNNNNNNNNNNNNNNNNNNNNNNNNNNNNNNNNNNNNNNNNNNNNNNNNNNNNNNNNNNNNNNNNNNNNNNNNNNNNNNNNNNNNNNNNNNNNNNNNNNNNNNNNNNNNNNNNNNNNNNNNNNNNNNNNNNNNCUGACAUCAUGUUACUUUUUUGGUUUUGUUAUUUCUUCCUUUUUUAUUCACAUUUUGUUUUUGUUUUUUGUUUAUAUUCUAAAUAUAUAUAUAUAUUUAAAAAACAGUGUACAUAAUUUCCUAAAAUAUUCAUCUUUCAUUUGAAAAAUGUUAAACGUGUAUAGGAAAAAUAAUUUUUUAUGUAUAAAAAAUGAAAAAUGUGAAACCAAAAAGUAGAAAAUGUAAUCAUGUGUACAAAAAAUAUUAAUCAUGUGAACGAAAAAUGUUUAAACAUUCUAAACAAAUAUUCGUGUAAUUCAGAAAACAUGCAUGUUACAUUAUACAAAUGUUCACAAGUUUAAAAAAAUGUGUUUGGGGCAUUUAAAAAAAUUCCUGUACAAUUUUAAAAAGUUUGCAUAGUUCAUAAUAAAAAUUAUCACUAAAAAUUUGUUCCAAUGCGUAUUUAAAAAAUGUUUAACAUGUAUUUGAAAAAUAUAUUUAAAGCAUGUUUUUGUAAUUAUGUUGAAAAUAGAUUUGAAAAAUGUGAAAUAUUUAAUAAAAAUAUUUAUAGGUAUAAAAAAUGUACUAAAUGUAUGAGAAACGUAGAUAUCAAAAACAUGUACUGAAAAAUAUUAUCAUGUAUUUAAAUUCUUUUAAAGGUGUGUAAAAAAUAUUCCUAGCGUAUACAAAAAUAUGUACAAUACAAUGAAAAUGUAGACAUGUGUUGAAAAGACCCGACAAGAAAACCGGUGAAACUGACAAAUCAACAAUAAAGCAAAAAAAUCAAAGAAAAACAAGAAAGCACAAAAGAAAAAAAAAGUAUAACAAAGAAAAAAGAAGAAAAAACAAUAAGAAAUAAAAGAAAACCAAAUCAAAAUGAAGAAAAAAGAAAAACCAUAGAAAACUGGUGGAAAACAAAAGAAAGAGAAAAAACGCAUAGUAAACCAGACGUUACAGCGACCACUACGAGCUGAGCGAACCUACGCGUGCAGAAUUGGGCCGGGCUGCUACAGUUGCGAGUGGCGGAUUCCUAUUAGGGAUCUAUACCACACAUCGUAUAGCCCUGGCGCGGAAUCCUACUCCAUCCAGUAUUAUUUAUUGCAGAAUUUUUUUCUUGAAUAUGCACGAGUGUGCAUAUCAUAUAUUAAAGAAGAAAAGCAAAGAGUGUCUCCACCAUAGUUUACAGGGUUCUUAGUUCAUGCUAAUCCUCAUCACUCACCCACCUCUCUACCCUAGUAAAGAAGGGCGUUACAUUCCCUUUCAAUAGCCCAGCGGAGGACCAAAUGAAGCCCUCAGAACACACUUUUCUUAGCAACUGCUCGAUCGAAGGUCUCGCUCCCUCAAAGACAAUGGCAUUCCUAUGUUUCCACAACUUCCACCAAGUAAGCGCGAAAAUGGUGCGAAGAUCCUUCGUGCUCACACUGUUCGAUCCUUGCUUGUCGAUGGCCCACUCCACCAGCGAGUCUUGGGUUGAAGGGAUCCAACUGGGUGUCUCCAACGCAACACAAAUCGCCACCCAAACUGUCCGAGCAAAAACACACGUGAGCAUUAUAUGAUUGAUCGUUUCUUCCUCUUGAUCACAAAAAGGGCAUGCGGCCUGGUGAGGUAGGCCUCUUCGCGCAAGACGAUCCGAGGUCCAGCAUCUGUCCUUCAUGGCCAGCCAGGUGAAAAAUGUGCAUUGCAGAGGAGCACGUGAUUUCCAUGUCAGGUCCGCCAUUGGGAUCACCUCCCGGCCCCAAAAUCUAGCCGCGUAUGCCGAUCUCACAGAGAACUGCCCAUUCGUCUCCCACGACCAUGUUAUCUCAUCCGGCGCCUCAUUAGAUGCAUCCCAAGCAUUGACCGCCUGCCAAAGUGAUAGAAACUCAUGCAAGGUCUCCGGUCCAAAAUUGGGGUUGAAGUCCAUCGCCUAAGACCCUUUCUCCAUGGCUGUAUUGACCAAUCUCAUCUUGCGAGUUCGGGGUGGCACAAGGUCAUAUACUCGCGGUGCGAUCUCCUGAAUUCUUUGUCCAUGUAACCAUCAGUCCUCCCAAAAGAGCGUUGUACGUCCCGACCGCGCAUUGCUCGUCAUGGCUGCCUGGCACAACAUUUGUGCUUCAUCCGCAACUUUGAUUCGAAACUCAUUCCAGGGCCUCGAAUCGUCGGUCCUUUUGAGCCACGGCCAGCAAGCUUGCAUGGCGAUAUUCAUCCAUCUUAUGUUAGGCGGCCCCAAUCCACCCGCCCACUUCGGCGUACACACCAUGUCCCAUGCAACAGCACAGUUGCCGCCAUUUGCUUCAGCUCUUCUGCACCACAAGAAGCCUCGGCAAAUCUUGUUCAUUGCUGCGAUAGUUUUCACAGGGAGAUCUAGAGCCAUCAUAGCAUGGAUAGGCAUGCCGCACAGAACGGACUGCACAAGAGUUAGUCGUCCACUCUUUGGCAUAAGAGCUUCCUUCCACUUUGGAAGUCGAUUUGCCAUGUGAUCCACCAAGUACUACAGCUGCGUCGCUGAUUGCUUCCUUAACGAUAGUGGUAGCCCAAGGUAUUUUAUCAGGAACGAUCCCAAGGGGCACUGCAGCUCAUUGCAUGCCAUAGCUAUCUCUUUCUCGGAGCACCUGAUAGGUAGGGCUGCAGAUUUGCGCAUGUUGAUUCUCAACCCUGCCGCCUCCCCAAACAGCUCUAAAAGACAAUUGCAGACCUCAAGAUCCAUUGGAUUUGGCUUGACAAACAUUACCACGUCGUCUGCGAAGAUAGACAUGCACUUCCUCAUGCCAACACGCGGCAGGGGUGACAGCACUCCUCUACUCAUGGCAACCUCGAACAUCCUUUGCAGGGGCUCCAUAGUUAGGAUGAAAAGCAUCGGGGAGAUCGGGUCGCCCUGCCGCAGCCCUUUACAAUUGUAGACCGUGUCUCCCGGAUCACCAUUCACCAUGAUCUUGGUGGUCGAUGUUGCAAGGAUCCCGCAUAUCCAAGAUCUCCACCUCGGCCCGAAGCCCAUCUGAUGCAAAACCUCAAUAAGAAAAGGCCACUGUACGGAGUCAAACGCUUUUGAUAUGUCAAGCUUGAGCAGCACGGUUAAACUCCUCAAUGCAUGCAACGGUCUUGCCAUGCUCUGGACAAGCAUGAAGUUAUUAUGCAAUGAUCUGCCCUUUACAAACGCACUCUGGUGAUUGCCAACCAGCUUGGGUAGAUCCUACACCAACCGACAAGCAAGUACUUUCUCAAAGAUCUUGAUGGCCCCGUGAACAAGGUUUAUAUAUAGGGCGGAAGUCACCCACCUCCAGUGCUCCCUCCUUCUUGGGCAAAAGUGAGAUGAGAGACUUAUUGAUUGCGGCCAAACCUCUCAUACCCCCUUGUAAAAGCUGUCCAUUGCCUUCAUGAAGUCCUCCUUGAUGAUGCCCCAACAUGUUGCAUAAAAUCUUCCGGUAAACCCAUCCGGUCCCGGGGCUUUAUCCAUGGGCAUGCUCUUGAUCACCUUCUCCACUUCAUCAGCCGUGAACGGGUGCUCCAAAUGCGCUAAGUCCAGGUGCGGCAGGCCCAACAUAUCCAAAUUGAGAGUAUGGGUCCUAGCCUCCGGGGCACCAAAAGCUGCACCAAAGUAGGCGUCCACUGCCGAUGCCACCUCGUCCUACCUAGUAUAUAAGUUCCCGUUGUGCUUAACUGAUCUUAUGACGUUCUUUCUUUGUCUGUUACUAGCUUGCUGGUGGAAGAGCCUAGUGUUUCCAUCACCCUCUCGCAACUGCAGAAGCCUUGAUCUUUGUCUCGCUAUCGUCCUCUCCAGGGAGCUCAAGCCGAGUAGCUUUUUCUUCAGGCAUUCCUCAGCUCCCUCUCAGCAUCAGAUAAGGCUCUUGUCUCCAUGGCGAUGUCAAGUUGCUUGAUAACUUCGAGCGCAAUGGCUAUUUGCAGUUUCACAUUUCCGAUCCAACGGUCACUCCACCUUUGGAGGCUCACCGCAGUGGCUCUUAACUUGUUGUGCAGCAUGAGAUAGUCGUUAGUGGCUGCAGGUGUGGUGCUCCAAGCCAACUUAACCACAUCCAUGAAACCCUCUGCUCUAGUCCAAAAAGACCCAAAUUUGAAAUGACUCUUCAUAUUGAUGCUCACGUUCAUAUUGAGCACCAACGGACAAUGAUCCGAAACCUCCGUGCCCAAGGCCGAAAGGAAACUUGCUGGAUAAGCCUCAUCCCAUUCAUUUGAGACAAACACGCGGUCAAUCUUUUCCAAAGUGUCCGCUCUUCGUUCAUUAGACCACGUUUAUCUUCUGCCGUUCAAGUAUACCUCCUUUAGUUCUAAGGAGUUAAGUUUAGCGCGAAACCGCCCCAGCAUCCUCCGGUUAAUCAUGGCAUUGUUCUUGUCCUCCUCACAAGUGAUGAGAUUGAAGUCUCCGGCCACGAGCUAAGGCCCCACAUGUAAGUCGCGAAUAUCCACCAAGUCUUGUAGGAACUCUACCUUCUCAUCCUCCUCUUGUGGCCCAUACACACAUGUGAGCUGAUGUCUACUAUGCAACUUUAUUCUUGUAGACACGUGUUGGGCCUCCAAGCGGAGAGUUUUGUAGGACAGUAGCAAUUUUCCCUCAAGUGGAUGACCUAAGGUUUAUCAAUCCGUGAGAGGUGUAGGAUGAAGAUGGUCUCUCUCAAACGACCCUGCAACCAAAUACAAGAAAUCUUUUGUGUCCCCAACACACCCAAUACAAUGGCAAAUUGUAUAGGUGCACUAGUCAGCGAAGAGAUGGUGAUAGAAGUGUAAUAUGGGUGGUAGAAAUAUAUUUUUAUAAUCUGAAUAAAUUAAAAGCAGCAAGGUAGCAAUUAGUAAACGGGCACAAAAACGGUAUUGCAAUGCUUGAAAACAAGGCCUAGGGUCUGUACUUUCGCUAGUGCAAUCUCUCAACAAUGCUAACAUAGUUGGAUCAUAUGAUUAUCCCUCAAAGUGCAGCAAAGAAUCACUCCCGAGUUCCUAUUAGCGGAGAACAAAACAUAGGAAUUGUUUGUAGGGUACGAAGCCACCUCAAAGCUAUUCUUUCCGAUCAAUCUAUCCUAGAGUUCAUACUAGAGUAACGCAAGCUAUUCUUUCCGAUCGAUCUAAUCAAGAGUUCGUACUAAGAUAACACCAAAGCAAGUUCAUAUUCAUAAUACUCAAUCCACACAAAGAACUACAAGGAGACCCCAAAGUUUCUAUCGGAGAAAAACGUGCAUCGACCCCUAUGCAUAGAUUACCCCAAUAUCACUGCGGGAAUCCGCGAGUUGAAUGCCAAGACACAUAUCAAGUGAAUCAAUAUGAUAUCCCAAUUGUCACCUCAAGUAUUCAUACCGCAAGAUAUAUAUCAUGUGUUCUCAUCUCUGAAUAUUCAAUCCGACAAGACAAAACUUCAAAGGGUAAAGAUUCAGUUCAUCAUAACAAGAGUAUAGAGGGUAGAAACAUCAUAUGAUCCGACUAUAUUAACAAAUCCCAUGAUAUAGAUCACGAGAGAGAGAGAGAGAGAGAGAGAAUAAACACAUAGCUACUGGUACAAACCCUCAGCCCCGAGGGUGGACUACUCCCUCCUCAUCGUGGUGGCCGCCGGGAUGAUGAAGAUGGCCACCAGAGAUGAUUCCCCCCUCCGGCAGGGUGCCGGAAUGGGUCUAGAUUAGUUUUUGGUGGCUACAGAGCCUUGCGGCGGCGGAACUUCUGAUCUAGGGUAACCGCGAAGGGUUUCGGAAUAUUUGGGAAUUUAUAGUGCAAACUGUUGGGGGAACGUAGUAAUUUCAAAAAAAUUCUACGCACACGCAAGAUCAUGGUGAUGCAUAGCAACGAGAGGGGAGAGUGUUGUCCACGUACCCUCGUAGACCGAAAGCGGAAGCGUUAACACAACGCGGUUGAAGUAGUCGUACGUCUUCACGAUCCGACCGAUCAAGUACCGAACGCACGGCACCUCCGAGUUCAGCACACGUUCAGCUCGAUGACGUCCCUCGAACUCCGAUCCAGCCGAGUGUUGAGGGAGAGUUUCGUCAGCACGACGGCGUGGUGACGAUGAUGAUGUUCUACCGACGCAGGGCUUCGCCUAAGCUCCGCUACGAUAUUAUCGAGGUGUAAUAUAGUGGAGGGGGGCACCGCACACGGCUAAAAGAUCGUUGAUCAAUUGUGUGUCUAGAGGUGCCCCCCUGCCCCCGUAUAUGAAGGUGCAAGGGGGAGGCCGCCGGCCUAGGAGGUGUGGCGCGCCAGGAGGAGUCCUACUCCUACCGGGAGUAGGACUCCCCCCCUUUCCAUGUUGGACUAGGAGAGGAAGGGGGAAGAGGUGGAGGGGAGGAAGGAAGGGGGGGCGCCGCCCCCCUCUCCUUGUCCUAUUCGGACUGGGGGGAAGGGGGGCGCGGCCCUGACCUAGCCUCCUCUCCUCUCUUCCACCUAGGCCCAAUAAGGCCCAUUAAGUUACCGGGGGGUUCCGGUAACCUCCCGGUACUCCGGAAAAAUCCCGAUUUCACCCGGAACACUUCCUAUGUCCAAACAUAGGCUUCCAAUAUAUCAAUCUUUAUGUCUCGACCAUUUCGAGACUCCUCGUCAUGUCCGUGAUCACAUCCGGGACUCCGAACUACCUUCGGUACAUCAAAACAUAUAAACUCAUAAUAUAACUGUCAUCGUAACGUUAAGCGUGCGGACCCUACGGGUUCGAGAACUAUGUAGACAUGACCGAGACACCUCUCCGGUCAAUAACCAAUAGUGGAACCUGGAUGCUCAUAUUGGUUCCUACAUAUUCUACGAAGAUCUUUAUCGGUCAGACCGCAUAACAACAUACGUUGUUCCCUUUGUCAUCGGUAUGUUACUUGCCCGAGAUUCGAUCGUCGGUAUCUCGAUACCUAGUUCAAUCUCGUUACCGGCAAGUCUCUUUACUCGUUCCGUAAUACAUCAUCCCAACUAACUCAUUAGUUACAAUGCUUGCAAGGCUUAUAGUGAUGUGCAUUACCGAGUGGGCCCAGAGAUACCUCUCCGACAAUCGGAGUGACAAAUCCUAAUCUCGAAAUACGCCAACCCAACAAGUACCUUUGGAGACACCUGUAGAGCACCUUUAUAAUCAGCCAGUUAUGUUGUGACGUUUGGUAGCACACAAAGUGUUCCUCCGGUAAACGGGAGUUGCAUAAUCUCAUAGUCAUAGGAACAUGUAUAAGUCAUGAAGAAAGCAAUAGCAACAUACUAAACGAUCGAGUGCUAAGCUAACGGAAUGGGUCAAGUCAAUCACGUCAUUCUCCUAAUGAGGUGAUCCCGUUAAUCAAAUGACAACUCAUGUCUAUGGCUAGGAAACAUAACCAUCUUUGAUUAACGAGCUAGUCAAGUAGAGGCAUACUAGUGACACUCUGUUUGUCUAUGUAUUCACACAUGUAUUAUGUUUCCGGUUAAUACAAUUCUAGCAUGAAUAAUAAACAUUUAUCAUGAUAUAAGGAAAUAAAUAAUACUUUAUUAUUGCCUCUAGGGCAUAUUUCCUUCAGUCUCCCACUUGCACUAGAGUCAAUAAUCUAGAUUACACAGUAAUGAUUCUUACACCCAUGGAGUCUUGGUGCUGAUCAUGUUUUGCUCGUGGAAGAGGCUUAGUCAACGGGUGUGCAACAUUCAGAUCCGUAUGUAUCUUGCAAAUUUCUAUGUCUCCCACCUGGACUAAAUCCCGGAUGGAAUUGAAGCGUCUUUUGAUGUGCUUGGUUCUCUUGUGAAAUCUGGAUUCCUUUGCCAAGGCAAUUGCACCAGUAUUGUCACAAAAGAUUUUCAUUGGUCCCGAUGCACUAGGUAUGACACCUAGAUCGGAUAUGAACUCCUUCAUCCAGACUCCUUCAUUUGCUGCUUCCGAAGCAGCUAUGUACUCCGCUUCACACGUAGAUCCCGCCACGACACUUUGCUUAGAACUGCACCAACUGACAGCUCCACCGUUCAAUGUAAAUACGUAUCUGGUUUGCGAUUUAGAAUCGUCCGGAUCAGUGUCAAAGCUUGCAUGAGCGUAACCAUUUACGAUGAGCUCUUUGUCACCUCCAUAAACAAGAAACAUAUCCUUAGUCCUUUUCAGGUAUUUCAGGAUGUUCUUGACCGCUGUCCAGUGAUCCACUCCUGGAUUACUUUGGUACCUCCCUGCUAAACUUAUCGCAAGGCACACAUCAGGUCUGGUACACAGCAUUGCAUACAUGAUAGAGCCUAUGGCUGAAGCAUAGGGAACAUCUUUCAUCUUCUCUCUAUCUUCUGCAGUGGUCGGGCAUUGAGUCUUACUCAAUCUCACACCUUGUAAUACAGGCAAGAACCCUUUCUUUGCUUGAUCCAUUUUGAACUUCUUCAAAACUUUGUCAAGGUAUGUGCUUUGUGAAAGUCCUAUUAAGCGUCUUGAUCUAUCUCUAUAGAUCUUAAUGCCUAAUAUAUAUGCAGCUUCACCGAGGUCUUUCAUUGAAAAACUCUUAUUCAAGUAUCCCUUUAUGCUAUCCAGAAAUUCUAUAUCAUUUCCAAUCAGCAAUAUGUCAUCCACAUAUAAUAUCAGAAAUGCUACUGAGCUCCCACUCACUUUCUUGUAAAUACAGGCUUCUCCAAAAGUCUGUAUAAAACCAAAUGCUUUGAUUACACUAUCAAAGUGUUUAUUCCAACUCCGAGAGGCUUGCACCAGUCCAUAAAUGGAUCGCUGGAGCUUGCACACUUUGUUAGCUCCCUUUGGAUCGACAAAACCUUCCGGUUGCAUCAUAUACAACUCUUCUUCCAGAAAUCCAUUCAGGAAUGCAGUUUUGACAUCCAUUUGCCAAAUUUCAUACUCAUAAAAUGCGGCAAUUGCUAACAUAAUUCGGACAGACUUUAGCAUCGCUACGGGUGAGAAGGUCUCAUCAUAGUCAAUCCCUUGAACUUGUCGAAAACCUUUCGCAACAAGUCGAGCUUUAUAGACAGUAACAUUACCGCCAGCGUCAGCCUUCUUCUUGAAGAUCCAUUUAUUUUCAAUGGCUUGCCGACCAUCGGGCAAGUCAACCAAAGUCCAUACUUUGUUCUCGUACAUGGAUCCCAUCUCGGAUUUCAUGGCUUCAAGCCAUUUUGCGGAAUCUGGGCUCACCAUCGCUUCUUCAUAGUUCGUAGGUUCGUCAUGGUCUAGUAACAUAACCUCCAGAACAGGAUUGCCGUACCACUCUGGUGCGGUUCUUGAUCUGGUUGACCUACGAGGUUCAGUAAUAACUUGAUCUGAAGUUUCAUGAUCAUUAUCAUUAACUUCCCCACUAAUUGGUGUAGGUGUCGCAGAAACUAAUUUCUGUGAUGAUCUACUUUCCAAUAAGGGAGCAGGUACAGUUACCUCAUCAAGUUCUACUUUCCUCCCACUCACUUCUUUCGAGAGAAACUCCUUCUCUAGAAAGGAUCCAUUCUUAGCAACGAAUAUCUUGCCUUCGGAUCUGUGAUAGAAGGUGUACCCAACAGUCUCCUUUGGGUAUCCUAUGAAGACACAUUUCUCCGAUUUAGGUUCGAGCUUAUCAGGUUGAAGUUUCUUCACAUAAGCAUCGCAACCCCAAACUUUAAGAUACAACAACUUUGGUUUCUUGCCAAACCAUAGUUCAUAAGGUGUCGUUUCAACGGAUUUUGAUGGUGCCCUAUUUAGAGUGAAUGCAGCCGUCUCUAAAGCAUAACCCCAAAACGAUAGCGGUAAAUCAGUAAGAGACAUCAUAGAUCGCACCAUAUCUAGUAAAGUACGAUUACGACGUUCGGACACACCAUUACGCUGUGGUGUUCCGCGUGGCGUGAGUUGCGAAACUAUUCCGCAUUGUUUCAAAUGUAGGCCAAACUCGUAACUCAAAUAUUCUCCUCCACGAUCAGAUCGUAGAAAUUUUAUUUUCUUGUUACGAUGAUUUUCAACUUCAUUCUGAAAUUCUUUGAACUUUUCAAAUGUUUCAGACUUAUGUUUCAUUAAGUAGAUAUACCCAUAUCUGCUCAAAUCAUCUAUGAAGGUGAGAAAAUAACGAUAUCCACCACGAGCCUCAAUAUUCAUCGGACCACAUACAUCUGUAUGUAUGAUUUCCAAUAAAUCUGUUGCUCUCUCCAUAGUUCCGGAGAACGGUGUUUUAGUCAUCUUGCCCAUGAGGCACGGUUCGCAAGUACCAAGUGAUUCAUAAUCAAGUGAUUCCAAAAGUCCAUCAGUAUGGAGUUUCUUCAUGCGCUUUACACCGAUAUGACCUAAACGGCAGUGCCACAAAUAAGUUGCACUGUCAUUAUCAAAUCUGCAUCUUUUGGCUUUGACAUUAUGAAUAUGUGUGUCACUACUAUCGAGAUUCAUUAAAAAUAGACCACUCUUCAAGGGUGCAUGACCAUAAAAGAUAUUAUUCAUAUAAAUAGAACAACCAUUAUUCUCUGAUUUAAAUGAAUAACCAUCUCGCAUUAAACAAGAUCCAGAUAUAAUGUUCAUGCUCAACGCUGGCACCAAAUAACAAUUAUUAAGGUCUAAAACUAAUCCCGAAGGUAGAUGUAGAGGUAGCGUGCCGACCGCGAUCACAUCGACUUUGGAACCAUUUCCCACGCGCAUCGUCACCUCGUCCUUAGCCAAUCUUCGCUUAAUCCGUAGCCCCUGUUUCGAGUUGCAAAUAUUAGCAACAGAACCAGUAUCAAAUACCCAGGUGCUACUGCGAGCAUUAGUAAGGUACACAUCAAUAACAUGUAUAUCACAUAUACCUUUGUUAACCUUGCCAUCCUUCUUAUCCGCCAAAUACUUGGGGCAGUUCCGCUUCCAGUGACCAGUCUGCUUGCAGUAGAAGCACUCAGUUUCAGGCUUAGGUCCAGACUUGGGUUUCUUCUCCUGAACAAGAACUUGCUUGCUGUUCUUCUUGAAGUUCCCCUUCUUCUUCCCUUUGCCCUUUUCCUUGAAACUAGUGGUUUUACUGACCAUCAACACUUGAUGCUCCUUUUUGAUUUCUACCUCCGCUGCCUUUAGCAUUGCGAAGAGCUCGGGAAUUGUCUUAUUCAUCCCUUGCAUGUUAUAGUUCAUCACGAAGCUCUUGUAGCUUGGUGGCAGUGAUUGAAGAAUUCUGUCAAUGACGCUAUCAUCCGGAAGAUUAACUCCCAGUUGAAUCAAGUGAUUAUUAUACCCAGACAUUUUGAGUAUAUGCUCACUGACAGAACUAUUCUCUUCCAUCUUGCAGCUGUAGAACUUAUUGGAGACUUCAUAUCUCUCAAUCCGGGCAUUUGCUUGAAAUAUUAACUUCAACUCCUGGAACAUCUCAUAUGCUCCAUGACGUUCAAAACGUCGUUGAAGACCCGGUUCUAAGUCGUAAAGCAUGGCACACUGAACUAUCGAGUAGUCAUCAGCUUUGCUCUGCCAGACGUUCAUAACUUCUUGUGUUGCUCUUGCAGGAGGCCUGGCACCCAGCGGUGCUUCCAGGACGUAAUUCUUCUGUGCAGCAAUGAGGAUAAUCCUCAAGUUACGGACCCAGUCCGUGUAAUUGCUACCAUCAUCUUUCAACUUUGCUUUCUCAAGGAACGCAUUAAAAUUCAACGGAACAACAGCACGGGCCAUUUAUCUACAACUAACAUAGACAAGCAAGAUACUAUCAGGUACUAAGUUCAUGAUAAAUUUAAGUUCUAUUAAUCAUAUUACUUAAGAACUCCCACUUAGAUAGACAUCCCUCUAAUCAUCUAAGUGAUUACGUGAUCCAAAUCAACUAAACCAUGUCCGAUCAUCACGUGAGAUGGAGUAGUUUCAAUGGUGAACAUCACUAUGUUGAUCAUAUCUACUAUAUGAUUCACGCUCGACCUUUCGGUCUCCGUGUUCCGAGGCCAUAUCUGCAUAUGCUAGGCUCGUCAAGUUUAACCUGAGUAUUUCGCGUGUGCAACUGUUUUGCACCCGUUGUAUUUGAACGUAGAGCCUAUCACACCCGAUCAUCACGUGGUGUCUCAGCACCAAGAACUUUCGCAACGGUGCAUACUCAGGGAGAACACUUUUAUCUUGAAAUUUUAGUGAGAGAUCAUCUUAUAAUGCUACCGUCAAUCAAAGCAAGAUAAGAUGCAUAAAAGAUUAAUAUCACAUGCAAUCAAUAUAAGUGAUAUGAUAUGGCCAUCAUCAUCUUGUGCUUGUGAUCUCCAUCUCCGAAGCACCGUCAUGAUCACCAUCGUCACCGGAGCGACACCUUGAUCUCCAUCGUAGUAUCGUUGUCGUCUCGCCAACUAUUGCUUUUACGACUAUUGCUACUGCUUAGUGAUAAAGUAAAACAAUUACAUGGCGAUUGCAUUGCAUACAAUAAAGCGACAACCAUAUGGCUCCUGCCAGUUGCCGAUAACUCGGUUACAAAACAUGAUCAUCUCAUACAAUAAAAUAUAGCAUCAUGUCUUGACCAUAUCACAUCACAACAUGCCCUGCAAAAACAAGUUAGACGUCCUCUACUUUGUUGUUGCAAGUUUUACGUGGCUGCUACGGGCUUAGCAAGAACCGUUCUUACCUACGCAUCAUAACCACAACGAUAGUUUGUCAAGUUGGUGAUGUUUUAACCUUCGCAAGGACCGGGCGUAGCCACACUCGGUUCAACUAAAGUGAGAGAGACAGACACCCGCCAGUCACCUUUAAGCAACGAGUGCUCGCAACGGUGAAACCAGUCUCGCGUAAGCGUACGCGUAAUGUCGGUCCGGGCCGCUUCAUCUCACAAUACCGCUGAACCAAAGUAUGACAUGCUGGUAAGCAGUAUGACUUAUAUCGCCCACAACUCACUUGUGUUCUACUCGUGCAUAACAUCAACGCAUAAAACCAGGCUCGGAUACCACUGUUGGGGAACAUAGUAAUGUCAAAAAUUUCUACGCACACGCAAGAUCAUGGUGAUGCAUAGCAACGAGAGGGGAGAGUGUUGUCCACGUACCCUCGUAGACCGAAAGCGGAAGCGUUAACACAACGCGGUUGAUGUAGUCGUACGUCUUCACGAUCCGACCGAUCAAGUACCGAACACACGGCACCUCCGAGUUCAGCACACGUUCAGCUCGAUGACGUCCCUCGAACUCCGAUCCAGCCGAGUGUUGAGGGAGAGUUUCGUCAGCACGACGGCGUGGUGACGAUGAUGAUGUUCUACCAACACAGGGCUUCGCCUAAGCUCCGCUACGAUAUUAUCGAGGUGUAAUAUGGUGGAGGGGGGCACCGCACACGGCUAAAAGAUCGUUGAUCAAUUGUGUGUCUAGAGGUGCCCCCCUGCCCCCGUAUAUGAAGGUGCAAGGGGGAGGCCGCCGGCCUAGGAGGUGUGGCGCGCCAGGAGGAGUCCUACUCCUACCGGGAGUAGGACUCCCCCCCUUUCCAUGUUGGACUAGGAGAGGAAGGGGGGAAGAGGUGGAGGGGAGGAAGGAAGGGGGGGCGCCGCCCCCCUCUCCUUGUCCUAUUCGGAUUGGGGGGAAGGGGGGCGCGGCCCUGCCCUAGCCUCCUCUCCUCUCUUCCACCUAGGCCCAAUAAGGCCCAUUAAGUUACCGGGGGGUUCCGGUAACCUCCCGGUACUCCGGAAAAAUCCCGAUUUCACCCGGAACACUUCCGAUGUCCAAACAUAGGCUUCCAAUAUAUCAGUCUUUAUGUCUCGACCAUUUCGAGACUCCUCGUCAUGUCCGUGAUCACAUCCAGGACUCUGAACAACCUUCAGUACAUCACAACAUAUAAACUCAUAAUAUAACUGUCAUCGUAACGUUAAGCAUGCGGACCCUACGGGUUCGAGAACUAUUUAGACAUGACCGAGACACCUCUCCGGUCAAUAACCAAUAGCGGAACCUGGAUGCUCAUAUUGGUUCCUACAUAUUCUACGAAGAUCUUUAUCGGUCAGACCGCAUAACAACAUACGUUGUUCCCUUUGUCAUCGGUAUGUUACUUGCCCGAGAUUCGAUCGUCGGUAUCUCGAUACCUAGUUCAAUCUCGUUACCGGCAAGUCUCUUUACUCGUUCCGUAAUACAUCAUCCCGCAACUAACUCAUUAGUUACAAUGCUUGCAAGGCUUAUAGUGAUGUGCAUUACCGAGUGGGCCCAGAGAUACCUCUCCGACAAUCAGAGUGACAAAUCCUAAUCUCGAAAUACGCCAACCCAACAAGUAACUUUGGAGACACCUUUAGAGCACCUUUAUAAUCAGCCAGUUACGUUGUGACAUUUGGUAGCACACAAAGUGUUCCUCCGGUAAACGGGAGUUGCAUAAUCUCAUAGUCAUAGGAACAUGUAUAAGUCAUGAAGAAAGCAAUAGCAACAUACUAAACGAUCGAGUGCUAAGCUAACGGAAUGGGUCAAGUCAAUCACGUCAUUCUCCUAAUGAGGUGAUCCCGUUAAUCAAAUGACAACUCAUGUCUAUGGCUAGGAAACAUAACCAUCUUUGAUUAACGAGCUAGUCAAGUAGAGGCAUACUAGUGACACUCUGUUUGUCUAUGUAUUCACACAUGUAUUAUGUUUCCGGUUAAUACAAUUCUAGCAUGAAUAAUAAACAUUUAUCAUGAUAUAAGGAAAUAAAUAAUACUUUAUUAUUGCCUCUAGGGCAUAUUUCCUUCACAAACAAGGGGUGCGGGAGGCCACCGAGGUGGGCACAGCCCACCUGGGCGCGCCAGGGGGGCCUGGAGCGCCCUGGUGGGUUGUGCCCCCCUCGGGGCACCCCUAGGUGCUGCUAUGGCCCAAUGGGUGUCUUCUGGUCCAUAAAAUGUCACCAUGGAGUUUCGUUGCAUUUGGGCUCCGUUUGGUAUUGAUUUCCUGCUAUGUAAAAAACAAGCAAAAAAUAGCAACUGGCACUGGGCACUGGGUCAAUAGGUUAGUCCCAAAAAAUGAUAUAAAGUUGCUAUAGAAUGAUUGUAAAACAUCCAAGAAUUAUAAUAUAUUGGCAUGAAUACUUCAUAAAUUAUAGCUACGUUGGAGACGUAUCAGCAUCCCCAAGCUUAAUUCCUACUCGUCCUCGAGUAGGUAAAUGAUAAUAGAAAUAAUUUAUGAAGUGUGAAUGCUAGCAAAGUGCAUAAGUUUGAUCAAUGACAAUUUCAAUCACUUUUCCUAGCAUUAUAACAACAAUUCUUUCUCAUAAAAUUUCUCAUGUUGUAGUGGCAACCAAUUCACAUGUUAAGGUUUAAACACUGAACUCUCUUGAAACUCAACAACCUAUGUUCUUAGUCAUCAAGCAAUUGCAAUUCAACUUAUUCAACAGAGUUUAAGUAAGAUCUCCACACACUCAACCAUCAUAUAGCCUUCUAUGAUUGCUGACACUCACCGCAUACUCAUGAGCAAAACGUUUCAACCGGACACAUAUAAAGAUAGGGGCUUAUUGUUUUGCCUCCCAAUGUAUUCACCUCAAGGGUGAUGUCAACAAUAAUAACUCAUGCUACCCAUAUUCAACUGGACAUAUGUGCCUAGAUCUUUCCUCACCACAUGAUGCUUGCCAAAAGAGAAAAAUAAAAAGGAAUAGAGAGAAUAACUUUGACUCUUUGCAUAAAAGUAAUUACUGAAAAGUAAAAGAUAGGCCCUUCGCAGAGGGAAGCAGAGGUUGCCAUGCGCUUAUUAUUUGUUUGUAUGCUCAACCCCUUAGUGCAAAAGAACGUCAUGUUAUAUUGCCCCUUGUGAUGGCAACCUUUAUUAUGCAGUCUGUCGCUUUUAUUACUUUACCAUCACAAGUUCGUACAACGCUCAAUUUUCUCUUACACUAAACGAUCUUACAUUUUUAGAAGCAAUUUUUAUUGCCUUAUUGCACCGAUGACAACUUACUUGAAGAAUCUUAUUCAAUCCUUAGGUAGGUAUGGUGGAAUCUUGAAAAUAAGAUUUGGGUUUAAGGAUUUUUGGAUGCACAAGUAGUAUCUCUACUUGGUGCGGAAUUUUUGGCUAGCAAAGAUGGGGGGCAAGCACCACAUGUUGAAGGAUCUAUGAAAAUAUGACUUCUAUGUGAAUACGAAAAAACAUAAACCAUUACGCUGUCUUCCUUUUCCAACGUCAACAAUUUUGGCAUAUAUUAUUUUGAUGGGGGCUCACAAUCACAAAAGAUUUCUUGGAUAGUGUAUUUGCAUGUGAAAGUUCUCUUCCUUAUACUAAUUAUUCGUGAAUUGCUUGUAUGACCAAUAUUGUGAUUGUCAGGCCUCAAAAGAUUCCACUUUCUAAACCCAAUGUGAAGCUACCACUAGCCAUGAUAUGAUUUCAACUUCAUGAUAUUCAAUUUAUUCAACAAUUUACUCAUAGGAUAUAAGUGAAGCACAAGAGUAAACGACAAACUACUCCAAAAAGAUAUAAGUGAAGAUCGUGCGAGUAGUUAAGUAAAUAGAUAGCUAUGUGAGGACUCUCUCUUAUUUAAAAGUUUCAGAUCUAAGUAUUUUAUUAAAACAGAAAGCAAAAACAAAAUAAGAUGACAAUCCAAGGAUAGCACACAUCAUGUGAAAAAGCAAAAACUUAGGCUCAACCGAUACUAACCGAUAAUUGUUGAAGAAGAAAGGUGGGAUGCCUAUCGGGGCAUCCCCAAGCUUAGAUGCUUGAGACUUCUUGAAAUAUUAUCUUGGCGUGCCUUGGGAAUCCCAAAGCUUGAGCUUUUGUGUCUCCUUAAUUCCUUUUAUAUCACGGUUUUCCUAAAUCUCAAAAGCUUCAUCCACACAAAACUCAACAAGAACUCGUGAGAUAAGUUAGUAUAAACCAAUGCAAAAGCUUUAUCAUUCUCUACUGUAGCAAAUCACAAAAGAUAUUAUUCAACAUUGCAUACUAAAUGCCUCUGUAUAUUUAAUACUCCUAUCCUCAAAUAGAUUCAUUAAACAAGCAAGCAUAUGCAAACAAUGCAAACAUAACAGCAAUCUGCCAAAACAAUACAGUCUGUAAAGAAUGCAAGAGUAUCAAUACUUAUUCAACUCCAAAAAUUAUGAAAUUAUACCAAAUUGUAGAAAAUUUAUUAGAGCUUAUUAUGCAAAAAGUUUCAACAUUUUAUCACACGCUGACUUUCCUCGGGAAUUUUUGCAACAUCGAUAAACUUUCUGUUUUCAAGCAGCAACAUGUAGACUUGUAAAAUAAGCAUGGAAAAGGCUAUCAAUGACACUUUUAUUCAAAUAAAAGAUGCAAAACAUUAUUAUAAAUAACAGCAAGCAAAUCCUAACAAAAUAAAUUGACGCUCCAAGAAAAACACAUAUCAUGUGACGAAUGAAAACAUAGCUCCAAGUGAGGUUACCGAUAAUGUUGGAGGCGAAAGAGGGGAUGGCUUCCGGGGCAUCCCCAAGCUUAGUUGCUUAGAUCCUCCUUGAAUAUUACCUUGGGGUGCCUUGGGCAUCCCCAAUCUUAGGGUCUUGUCACUCCUUAUUCUCCUCAUAUCGUCAUCUCACCCAAAACUUGAAAACUUCAAUCACACAAAACUUAACGGAACUUUGUGAGAUAGGUUAGUAUGAUAAAGAGCAAACCAUUUCACUUUGGUACUGUCAAAGACAAGAUUCAUAAUUAUUUUCACACAAUGCCUACUGUAGCAUAUCAUUUUUACAAUUUAUAUUGAGCAAUAUAAGCCAUAGAAACUAGGAAACAAGCAAACUAUGCAUUGAAGACAGAAUCUGUCAAAAACAGAACAGUCUGUAGUAAUCUGUACUCAAACCAUACUUCUGCUACUCCAAAAAUUAUGAAAAAAUUGGAACACGUGAGAAAUUUGUAUAUUAAACUUCUGAAAAAAGAAUCAAUUCAAAAGCACUCUUAUGUUAAAAAUGAGACUCAUUUUUGUGAGCGCAAAAGUUUCUGUUUUUCAGCAAGAUCAAAUCUACUAUCACCCAACAUGACCCCAAAGGCUGUACUUGGCACUUUAUUUAAAAAAAAGCUGUAAAACUUGAUCACUACAGUAGCAUAAUCAUGUGAACACACAAAAACAGUAGGUAAAAGUGUUGGGUUGUCUCAAGCGCUUUUAUUUUAUGCCUUUUAGCUAGGCAUGAUGAUUUCAAUGAUGCUCGCAUAAAAGAUAAGAAUUGAAACACAAAGAGAGCAUCAUGGAGCAUAUGACUAGCACAUUUAAGUCUAACCCACUUCCUAUGCAUAGGGAUUUUGUGAGAAAAUAAUUCAUGGGAACAAGAAUCAUCUAGCAUAGGAAGGCAAAACAAGCAUAACUUCAAAACUUUCAACACAUAGAGAGGAAACUUGAUAUUAUUGAAAUUCCUACAAGCAUAAGUUCCUCCCCCAUAAUAAUUUUCAGUAGAAUCAUGAAUGAAUUCAACAAUAUAAAUAUCACAUAAAGCAUUCUUUUCAUGAUGCAUAAGGAUAUAAAUUUUGUUACUCUCCACAUAAGCAAAUUUCUUCUCAUCAAUAGUAGUGGGAGCAAACUCAACAAAAUAACUAUCAUGAGAGUGAAAAUUAAAAUCAUGAUGACAAGUUUCAUGGUUACCAUUAUUCUUUAUAGCAUACAUGUCAUCACCAUAAUCAUCAUAAAUAGGAAGCAUGCUUUCAUCAUAAUAAAUUUUCUCAUCAAAACUUGGGGGACUAAAAAUAUCAUAUUCAUCAAAUAUAACAUCCCCAAGCUUAUGGCUUUGCAUAUCAUUAGCAUCAUGGAUAUUCAAAGAAUUCAUACUAACAACAUUGCAAUCAUUCUCAUCAUUCAAAUAUUUUGUGCCAAACAUUUUAUUGACUUCUUCUUCUAAUAGUUGAGCACAAUUUCCGAACCAUCAUUUUCAAGAAAGAUAUUAUAAAGAUUAUCAAUAAUAUGAUGCAACCUCAAUUCCAUUUUAUGUAGUUUUUUUAUAAACCAAACUAGUGAUAAAAAAAGAAACUAAAAGACUCGAUAGCAAGAUCUCAAGAUAUACCUUCAUGCACUCACCUCCCCGACAACGGCGCCAGAAAAGAGCUUGAUGUCUACUACGCAACUUUAUUCUUGUAGACAUGUGUUGGGCCUCCAAGCGUAGAGUUUUGUGGGACAGUAGCAAUUUUCCCUCAAGUGGAUGUCCUAAGGUUUAUCAAUCCGUGAGAGGUGUAGGAUGAAGAUGGUCUCUCUCAAACGACCCUGCAACCAAAUACAAGAAAUCUCUUGUGUCCCCAACACAACCAAUACAAUGGCAAAUUGUACAAGUGCACUAGUUCGGCGAAGAGAUGGUGAUAAAAGUGUAAUAUGGGUGGUAGAAAUAUAUUUUUAUAAUCUGAAUAAGUAAAAACAGCAAGGUAGCAAUUAGUAAAUGGGCACAAAAACGAUAUUGCAAUGCUUGAAAACAAGGCCUAGGGUCCGUACUUUCGGUAGUGCAAUCUCUCAACAAUGCUAGCAUAGUUGGAUCAUAUGAUUAUCCCUCAAAGUGCAGCAAAGAAUCACUCCUGAGUUCCUAUUAGAGGAGAACAAAAGGUAGGAAUUGUUUGUAGGGUACGAAGCCACCUCAAAGCUAUUCUUUCCGAUCAAUCUAUCCUAGAGUUCGUACUAGAGUAACGCAAGCUAUUCUUUUCGAUCGAUCUAAUCAAGAGUUCGUACAAAGAUAACACCAAAGCAAGUUCAUAUUCAUAAUACUCAAUCCACACAAAGAACUACAAGGAGACCCCAAAGUUUCUACCGGAGAAAAACGUGCAUCAACCCCUAUGCAUAGAUUACCCCAAUAUCACCGAUGGAAUCCACGAGUUGAAUGCCAAGACACAUAUCAAGUGAAUCAAUAUGAUACCCCAAUUGUCACCUCAAGUAUUCAUACCACAAGAUAUAUAUCAUGUGUUCUCAUCUGUGAAUAUUCAAUCCAACAAGACAAAACUUCAAAGGGUAAAGAUUCAAUUCAUCAUAACAAGAGUAUAGAGGGUAGGAACAUCAUAUGAUCCGACUAUAUUAACAAAGCCCACGAUAUAGAUCACGAGAGAGAGAGAGAGAGAGAUUAAACACAUAGCUACUGGUUAAAACCCUCAGCCCUGAGGGUGGACUACUCCCUCCUCAUCAUGGUGGCCGCCGGGAUGAUGAAGAUGGCCACCGGAGAUGAUUCCCCCCCUCCGGCAGGGUACCGGAACGGGUCUAGAUUGGUCUUUGGUGGCUACAGAGCCUUGCGGUGGCGGAACUUCUGAUCUAGGGUAACCCCGAAGGGUUUCGGAAUAUUUGAGAAUUUAUAGUGCAAAGAAGGGGUGCGGGAGGCCACCGAGGUGGGCACAACCCACCUGGGCGCGCCAGGGGGGCCUGGCGCGCCCUGGUGGGUUGUUCCCCCCUCGAGGCGCCCCCCAGGUGCUGCUCUGGCCCAAUGGGUGUCUUCUGGUCCAUAAAAAAAUCACCGUGGAGUUUCGUUGCAUUUGGACUCCGUUUGAUAUUGAUUUCCUGUGAUGUAAAAAACAAGCAAAAAAUAGCAACUGGCACUGGGCACUGGGUCAAUAGGUUAGUCCCAAAAAGUGAUAUAAAGUUGCUAUAAAAUGAUUGUAAAACAUCCAAGAAUGAUAAUAUAUUGGCAUGAAUACUUCAUAAAUUAUAGAUACGUUGGGGACGUAUCAUGAGCCACCAAGGCUGCUCAUCCUCUGUGCAUUUAACAAGCACCGUUAGAAGUAUGGUUUGUAUAGUGCAGGUUAGAGAGUUGGGUUAUCGUGGCAUCCCAGGCCACCAAGAUCCCACCGCGCGUUCCUAAUGCAGGCAAAUAGAAAAACUUCUCAAACUUAGCACUGAGGCAUCGCCGUACAAUGUUUAGCGAUACAUCAUGAAUUUUUGUUUCUUGGAGACACACAAUGGCUGGGCUAGCCUGAGUCACCACCUGGAAAAUAGCGUUCCGACGGGCAGGCGCAUUUAGCCCUCAAACAUUCCACACCAUCAUACUCAAAGGUUGAAUAUUCAUUGCGAGCUCCAACCAUGCCGCCGGCGUGUUCGCUAACACACCUCCACCCGCUCCAGAGGCACAGCCGGCGAUUCCCACCCGAAUAAGGCCAGCACGGCAGCAAUGUGCACAUCCGAAAGCGGGCGAGAAAACAGAUCCACGUACAUCCUUAGGGCUUCCUUCGAGAUGACCUCCCCUUCAUGCGCCAAACACAGCUUCCUAAUGAGCACCUGCUGUUGCUUGGAUGCCCCAUGCUUUGCCAACCUCGCACUCCUCCUUGGCGUGACAUCCAAUCUUCUUUUCUUCCUCGGGUUGCGCGCUUGCACCACAGAUGCGCGAUUGGUCGGAAGCGGCAAGAGCGGAGAAAGAGAUUUGCACAUCUCGGCACGCAUGCUUUCCAAAUCACCGUGCAGUAGCAUAUCCCCACCAGACCGAGGCGGCGUGGCCUGGGCCUGCUCUUCAUCAGGAUCAUCAGCAACAGUGGGCGCAUGCUCUGGCCCGCCCACCUGCUCCACGCUACGUACCCUGCAUGCCGCAUGGGUGCAACUAGCAUCAGAUAGGCACACUUGGAAGGUUUCCAUUGCCUCCACCUGCCCGGUUUGUCCGCACUUUAUUGCAGAAAUGGAUGUAUCUAGAAUGAAUGUUCGUGCACAUAAGCCCAUACUCGUUUCUUUAAAAAAGGCCACAGUCCCAUAUGUAUACCUCGGCCUGCAACGAGGAUUCACGUUGCCUCGAUCAAUCUAAUGUACACUCCUAUUUGGCGCGUAGGUCGCCAAAUAGCGAGCUGAUGCGUACCCACAAAAACAUGAGCUCCUUUUUGGGCCGGCCAUUUCGGUAUUCCUUCCCACUGGUUUGGGAAGGACUAUUUUUUUUCUUCCGGUUUUCCUUUCCUUUUCUUAUACGUUUUUCUUUUUCUCAUUUUUCGCUUUCCUUUACUAUUCUGUUUUUCUUUGUCCUUUUAUUAUUUUCUUUUAUUUAUUUAUUUUUACCUUUUGUUUUUUGUUUUUAGAGUCCAUCUUUCAAAUUUGUGAACAUUUUUUUACUAAUCAAGAACAAUUUUCGAAAAUCAUAAAAAUAUUUUGAACUUGUCUACUUUUUUCCGGAAUCGUGAUAUUUUUUCAAACUUGUUAAUAUUUUCUCCAAAUACACGAAGAUUUUUUAAAAUCAUGAAAAAAUCAAAUUCACGAACAUUUUUUUAGAAAUUUGCAAACAUUUUUGACAAAGUGACCAUCUUUUUUUAAACCCGUGACAUUUGUUUUGAAUCCGCGAACAUUUUUGAAUCAACGAAGAUUUAUCAAAAAAUGGGGGAAUGAUUUCUCUAAUUCAAGGGAAUUUUUUUGAUUUGACAAACAUUUUUUAAAAUGUAUGAACAUUUAAAUAGAUGAAUUCUUUUAUCAACAAACAUUUAUUGAAUUGGUGAACUUAUUUUUCAAUUCAUUUUUUGAAUUUUAUACACAUGUCUAAUAAAUCAUGAACUAUUUUUGAAUUUGCAAACAUUUGUUAAAUUUCAUAACAUUUUUUUAGUACAUGAUUUUUUUUGAAAUCUUGAAAAAAAUUUGAUUUCUCAAAGUUGUUUUUCAUAAUCAUGAACAUUUUUAAAUGUGCGAAAAUUGUUUGUAAAACCACGAACAUUUUAUGAAUGUGUGAAUAAUUUUAUGAUUUCUUGACCAUUAUUUUCUAAAUGCACAAUUUUUAAAUUUUGGCACCUUUUGUAAUACCAAAUUAUUUAGAAAAGAAAAAAAACAAACACAGAAAAGAACACAAAGAAAGAGGAAAAGCUCGAAAUUAAAGAAAAUAGAGAGUCCCGCAAAUGGGCCGGCCCAAACGAGCGCGCUGAGGAGGAUGGGUGCGCGCUGCGGCCCUCCCAGCACGCAGCGCACCGAAUAGGAGCUCUCCAAGCUAAUACGACCGUGCAUGUGGGUCGCGAUUUAUCUCUAGGGCGGCGGUCGCAGCUCUCUCACAUCACGUCGCCACUACGCUCCAUGGGCAAGUACGCCGGCCUUGUCGCAUACCUUCCUCCUCGUCGGCCAUUGCCUUCAUCGUCCAAGUUGCUAGGCCUACCUACACGCAUGUCUGUGAUGUGUCCCCAAACUCCCCUCCUCAUUAUCAAGUUAUCAAUAUUUGUCAUGUCAUAUUAGAUUGUUAGCUUUUUAGUUUUCAAAAUUGUAAAUUCCUAAUUUCAUUUAGGUGUUAAAAUACCACCUUAGAAACGUUUGUCUACUAUGGAGAAAAAAAGAGGACCAGUCUAUUGAAUGACACAGUUGUGUUUCAAAUAAGUCAUUUUGUUUGCAAGUAAUGUUUUUUCGAUAGUGUGUUUAUUUAUUGCCUCAUAGCGUAGCAUCGAUGGAUACAACCAUGAUGAGUACAUACCCGACCUCUGCAUAACCAGGACACACACACACAAGAUCGCGUCGACAAAAAGCAAAGUCAUACAAGACCAAAGCUAUCUCUAGGCGGAUGAAGAAGAAAAACACCCAAAGCAAUGAGAACAACGAUUCACGAUGUACACCAGUGACCAACACCGCCAACCAACUUUUGACAACAUAAGGACUACGGGAAGGGUUGUCCGAAAAGUGACACCUCCAGAAAGGGAGCGAUGUACAAGCAUCGUCGUCGAGGGAUCCAACUACCGAAGGUUAGAUCAUGGGGUUUCACCCAGAAGAUCAAAUCCGAGAAAACCCUGUGUCGGGUGGUUGGUGCGACAUAUGCCAACGGGUGGCUUAUCAUUGUGGGUGCCAAUAAGACGUCGCCGGUGCCUGGAAACGGGAUGAGGCGAAGACAUGCACGCCGGCGGAUCUUACCCAGGUUCGGGGCUCUCCGAGGAGAUAACACCCCUAGUCCUGCUCUGUGGGGUCUCCGCAUGAUCACUAGAUCAGGAAAAGUAGCUACAAUCGCUCCUAGAGCUGUUGGGUUCAAGGGAGAAGAAGAACAAGGCUAGCUCUUGCUUCUCUCUCUCUAUGGUGUGUGUGCUAUGCUAAGAAGCCAACCCUUUGCAUGGGUGCCCCGGGGGGUUUAUAUAGGCCUACCCCCCGGGGGUACAAUUGUAAUCCGGCUGGGCACUGGUCCCAACCGUCAGUGUCUAUGCUCGCCGGCUUCUCCGCCGGCUGUUGGGGCCCGCCGACUGGUGGGUCCCGCCGGCUGCCGGCCUCUUGGUCGACAGGCCGGCCCCACCGCCUAGGGUCUUGUCGGCGGCUGCUUACUGUAGCCUCGCCCCUGAUGACGAGGGCUUCGUUGAGGUAAGCGUGGCUACAGUGGGCCGCCUCGAGGGCUCUCACUGUAGCCUUACCUCGUCUUGUCUCCUUAAUGUGGCACAUGCUUCGAGGGAGGGGGUAGCCGGCUUCUGGGGGCCGGCUACGCCCUUGGCCGACUGGGGGAGGCCGGGCCGCCUUCGCACCUCUCUCUGGCUAAAGGGGCCCGCUGCCCGUGGGCCGUACUGGUGCCUGUCGUGGGUGACGUCGAGGCUAGCAAGGCUACAGUGCCGAGCCGGACGGGAGAUGGCCGUCCUGUACGGCGUCCUGUGGCCAUGCCUGCCUCGGGUUUCGGGGGUAGUGGGCCGCACUGUGGCCACAACCCGUCUUGUCACCGUUAUGUGGCGUGGCUUUGGUGGUUGCGGUCUUGGCCGGCUUCUUGGAGUCGGCGCUCUUCGUGGCCGGCUUCGGGAGGUCGGCAUCCUCUAUGGCCGGCUUCCUGGAGUCAUCCGCCCCAUGGUUAUCCUGGGGGGAGGUUGCUGAGGCUAGGUCGCCUUCCGAGAGUCGGCUUCGGAGGUAGCCGGCCAGGGAAGGCGGCCCAACGCUUGAAAUGCUUUGAAGGCCCAAAUGGCCUGAUAAUUUUCUGAAGAGCCAGAGGCAGUCGGUUAGGCUACCCGUGACUAUUUACUCCGACAGUAGUCCCCGAAGCUGAUUGGGCUUCGAGGUUGGGUAGGAGUCGAGAAGCUCGAUCAGCUUCCUAUCUUGACAACUCGGCAGCUAGGGGCCUACUUUGGUUAGACGCGCCGCUUUGGUCAAAAAUUUUGGAGUCGGAGGGCGGGAGCUCGCCAGCGCGUGCGCCGGGCCGCGGGCCGGCCGCUCGCCGCCUGCGGACCACGUGCCCUCUCUUGGCCAAAAAUCCUGCCAGCCCACGCGUGCGACGGGACGUCGCCACAGGGCGGGGCCCCGCCACGUCCACGCCCGGGCCCAGGCGCUGCAGCCCGAAACCGCCCGCACGUCUCCUUGCGGCAGUUUCGGCACGCCUUUAGGGCGUAAUAAUCGCGAGGCGUGGGGGGAGUGGGUGCAGUUAAUCCCACGUCCCUCCCCACAUCCGGCCUCCCCGGCUUCACCUCGCGAGGCUAUAAGUAGGGGGAGAGGGAGAGCGGCAGGCUCUCGCACGCUCCUCCUCCUUCCACCAUCUUCUUUCUCUUGCCGUUUCUUGCAACAGCGCCUCGCCGCCGCGCUCUUCCAUUACUCGUUCCUCCGCCGCCGCGCUUGUUUUCACCAUGCCUCCCGCCACGGAGCAAUAUGGCGGGGAUUGGGACGGCUCCAACGUCCAUGAAGAUCACAUCGAAUUCCUCCGCAAGACGCGGCGGCUGCCCAGCGCGGACAAGGUGGAGGUCCGUCUCGCGCCGGCGAAGGAGCUGACGCCGGAUCCGCGGGAGGGCGAGCGGGUGGUCUUCCGCUCGCAUUUCUUGCGCGGAAUCGGCCUUCCCGUGAGCGCCUUCCUCCGUUCUUGGCUCGAGUUCUACCAGCUCCAGCCACACCACCUCACCCCGAACGCGGUGGUGCUGCUGUCUGCCUUCGUCACCCUGUGCGAAGGCUACCUCGGCGUCCUCCCCACCCUCGAGCUCUGGGGGGAGUUCUUCCAGUCCAAGCUGGGCACGCGCAUGCAGGGCGUGCCGGCUCAGACUGGCACCUUCAUCGCGAUGCGGAGGGAGGCCGCCGACAACCCCUUCCCCGUCAUCCCGCUGAUCCAGUCGGUGAAGUUAUGGCAAAAUUCGUACUUCUACGUCAGGAACAUCGCCCCGCAGGGCGACUACAUCAACCUGCCGGCUUACGUAGCCGGCCCACCUGCGGGCAGGCGGCCCCAGUGGUCAUACCGGGCCGUGACGCUGACGCCGGCUGGUAACGCAGCCAUCGCCCGAGUGCGGGUUAUGAUCCAGUCGGAGGGCUUGACGGGGCCCGACCUGCUGGCCGCCUUCGUCAUGCGCCGGGUACUUCCGCUCCAGAGCCGCCCUCAUCUGAUCUGUCAGAUGAGCGGCCAGCUCGAUCCGAGCCGGAUGUGCACCAAGGACAUGCCGCACGCGGAGGUUGCCUAUAUGGUGAACUACCUCGUGAACUGCAAACUCUCCGAAGAGUGGCAGUUCGGCAAGGAGCCAUAUAGCCGAGCCAAUCCACCGCCCACGGUAUGUUCUCCUUAUCUCUUCUUUUUCUCUUAGCUUUGUCGCCGAGUUCCUUUGGCCGACUCUGACUAGUCGGCUUGUCUUCGACAGAGGCCUCUCCUUCGGCCCGCCAGCGGGUCGGAUGCGGAGCGCCGGUUCGUCCCCGACCGGACGCAGCAUGACCUGGAGGACCCCGAUUUGGGGGCGGCCGCUAUGGACGACAACACCGAGCUGUGUGGUGGCCAAGCCGGCGGCGAAGCAGGCGGCUCCGGUCAUGGAGUCACCUUCGACGACUGGCCGGACGACGAUGAAGCCGAAGUCGUCCCGCGCCGCCGGCCGGCAUCUGGACGCGGCGCGGGUUCCUCCGCCGCGCCGCCUGCUUGGGGCGGCGGGCAAAAGAGUCGCGCCGCCCAGGGUUUGUUCGCCAGCCGGACGAAGAAACCCAGGGGCGGGGCGGCGGCGACCAGGCGGGAGGAGGCGGCCGCGAAGGCGGCUCGCUUCCGCAAGACGGUGAAGCAACCGCAGACGGUGUCGGUGUAAGUUCGAACUCUUUUGUAUACUCCUUUUUUCUUUCUUUUCUUUGGUGGUUCCUGAACCCUUGUCUUUUUCUCCCAACAACCAGAGCUCCAUUGUCGCUUGAGCGGGCGGCUGCC
rnacentral:lncRNA from 1 species